UGACUACAAAUGGGAAGCACAGCAUAUAUUCCUUCCCUGCCAAUCUCCAGGAAGACUGACCUCAUAAUUAGACUGUAUUAUAAAUUAAGAACAACAAUCCAGACUGGGCAGAUGGAAGACGGGGGAAUCCAGAGGUCAAAGGAGGCUGUCAGUGAACUUGAGUGUGCCAGGCAGGCAGCAGUGUUCUUACCCAGCAUGGGCCUGCUGGAAUACAGACGGCUACGUGCUGCUGCUGCUUCUGAUUCCCGGCCCCCAGACCGCCCGGAAGCACAGCAGUCUCAGAAAGCCACAGGUACUGUCUCAGUGACUUCACACACUGGUGGCUGAUUGCUGAGGUACCCCUCCUGUCCCUCAAUACAUGAGGCUCUGACUCUCUGGCAUUGCCCACUGGCUCACAACCACAAGACUGCUGUGCAAACACCAAGUCCCUGGCUGGUCUGGGCUCCCACCAGUUUCCUCUGGGCAGCAUGUGAGAAAGGGCUCCCUGCCUUUUUCCUUUCCUUUCUCUUUUUCAGUUAUCAUCCAGAUCUAGCUUCCAAGAGUUCCAAGACUUCCUCAUCCCAUCUGGACCCAAAAGCAAGAGCUGAUUUUUAAAAGCCAAAUUCUUGUUUCAUUUGGACAGAAGGAAUAAUGUGUCUUUCAUAUUUUCUUUGUAUUUCUCUUCAAUAGUUGCUUGACCCAACAUCUUUCUGUCUGCUCUAUACAAUGAAAAUACAAACUAAAUGAGAAUAGAAAAAAAUAAUUAAAGCAUUAAAUUGUACAAAUUACAAAUCUGUUCCAAAAUAUACUUACAUUAAAUAAAAUACGCAUUUCAGUAAGA